CGUGUAGGCGGAUCGGGAAGUUGGGUGUGAAAGCCCUGGGCUCAACCCAGGAAGUGCGCCCGAAACCACCGGUCUUGAGUUUCGGAUGGGAGCGGGGAAUUCCCAGUGUAGAGGUGAAAUUCGUAGAUAUUGGGAGGAACACCGGUGCCGAAGGGGCCGCUCUGGACGAAUACUGACGCUAAGACGCGAAAGCGUGGGGAGCAAACAGGAUUAGAUACCCUGGUAGUCC
rnacentral:rRNA from 1 species